rnacentral:lncRNA from 1 species
AUGACACAGGGUCCCCACAGCCAGCUUCUCUGCUUUAGAAGUUUUCUUACACCUAUGCCUUCCUUUCCACCCCAUGUCCUGCCUGACUGCAUCAUAGCCCACUGGGAUGAUGCUGACAGCCUCUUCAUGGACCUGCUGGGACAAAAUUUCUUUCUCAAACCGGGCAUGGUGGCGCACGCCUGUAAUCCUGGUACUUGGGAAGCUGAGGCAGGAGGAUCGUCGUGAGUUUGAAGCCAGCCUGGGCUACAUAGUGAGUUCAGGGCCAGCCUGAACUACAAAGGGAGAUCCUGCCUCAGAAAACAAAACAAUUUUUUUUCUCAUAAAUUUAUUCUCACAACUGCUACAACCAGCUUUCUAAAAUACAUACUUGACUAUGUUCUGU